rnacentral:rRNA from 1 species
UGGGGAAUAUUGGACAAUGGGGGCAACCCUGAUCCAGCAAUGCCGCGUGUGUGAAGAAGGCCUUCGGGUUGUAAAGCACUUUAGUUGGGGAGGAAGUUUGGUAGUUUAAGAGAUAAUCAAAUUGACUGUACCCAAAGAAUAAGCACCGGCUAACUCUGUGCCAGCAGCCGCGGUAAUACAGAGGGUGCGAGCGUUAAUCGGAAUUACUGGGCGUAAAGGGCGCGUAGGCGGAUAUUUAAGUUAGAUGUGAAAUCCCUGGGCUUAACCUAGGAACUGCAUCUAAUACUGGGUAUCUGGAGUGCAGUAGAGGAUAGUGGAAUUUCCGGUGUAGCGGUGAAAUGCGUAGAUAUCGGAAGGAACACCAAUGGCGAAGGCAGGUCUCUGGGCCAUUACUGACACUGAGGAGCGAAAGCGUGGGGAGCGAACAGG